GUCUUGGUCUAAUUCACAGUAAGCAAAAAGCUCACUGCUAGCUAGCUAUGCUUCCCACUCCUCCCUCCCUCAUUUGCUCACUCCUGCCCGCCCCAUCGCUGCAGCCACUGGUAUGUCGGGUCUGAUCCCGCCCCUGUGUCCUCCAGGGACUCUGUGAGACUUGCUUUUCCACGAGUGUGCCAUCUGCUGCCCCUACACGUGUGCUCUCUCUCUUGUGCACCGGGCUCCUGCGUUCAGCCCAUCACCGCUCCUACUUGGCUGCCUGCCCACAGGCACAAGAAAAACAGCUUUCGCCCUGUCCCUUGUGGACUCUUGUUCACUGAGAAGCCAUUUUUCCCACAGGCUCGACUAUCUGCCUGUGCUUGUUCACGCUCGCAAAUGCCCCUCCUGACAUACACUUUCCAAAAAGUUUAACCCUUGCUGA
rnacentral:lncRNA from 1 species